GUGAAACAGAGCGUAACCAUGACUCUCUACAUACUGCUUCUCACAUUAACCUUAUUGCAGGUUAAAGUAACCAGCACUUAUUCAGAAAAUUACAAGGGACCAAACAUGGCCCCAAAAAUUAUAGUAGCUGGAAAGAUAAACAUAUUAGAUGAUGUGACAAUACGCUGUGAAUCCCAGAAUGGAGAUUUUUGUUACUUCUACAAAGACCCUGGAAUAGUUCAUUUCAAGACAGUGGAAUAUAACACACAUUACAAUCUUUGUCAGUUUCAUAUACCUGGAGAACACCUUGUGGAAAAGCUUUCUCUCGAGUCUGACACAGAGGUGUUUUUAAGUUGUGCUGUUGGAUUGAACUCAACUGGACGAAUACAUCUCUCACAGCGCAGUGAGAUGAAGAGGAUGGUGGUAUUGACAGAUCCAUUUGUAGUAAGGAUUACAACGGAGAAAGACAACAUCGCUAUAGAGGAGUCUAUACGAGUUCGAUGUGAGGCACAAAUAGGAACUCGGUGUCAUUUGUACACCAGCCAGAGUGAAAGUCCAAUAAGGACAGAAAUUUU